AUUGAACGCUGGCGGCGUGCUUAACACAUGCAAGUCGAACGAAGUGGCGAACGUGUGAGUAACGCGUAAUCAACCUGCCCUUCAGAGGGGGACAACAUUUGGAAACGACUUCUAAUACCGCAUACUGCAGGAGGGGAUUGCGUCUGAUUAGCUAGUUGGCGGGGUAACGGCCAACAAAGGCGAGGCUCAGUAGCCGGUCUGAGAGGAUGAACGGCCAAAUUGGGAAUGAGACACGGCCCAGACUCCUACGGGAGGCAGCAGUGGGGAAGCUUCCGCAAUGGACGAAAGUCUGACGGAGCAACGCCGCGUGAGUGAUGACGGCCUUCGGGUUGUAAAGCUCUGUUAAUAGGGACGCGGUACCGGAAUAGAAAGCCACGGCUAACUACGUGCCAGCAGCCGCGGUAAUUC
rnacentral:rRNA from 1 species